rnacentral:rRNA from 1 species
UUCCCGAGGGGGGGGAUGCGGAGGGAUCAUUACACAAUACAAUAUGAAGGCUGUCCGCAGCUGGAGUAUUUUAUUACCCUUGUCUUUUGCGCACUUGUUGUUUCCUGGGCGGGUUCGCUCGCCACCAGGACCACCAAAUAAACCUUUUUUAUGCAGUUGCAAUCAGCGUCAGUACAAACAAUGUAAAUCAUUUACAACUUUCAACAACGGAUCUCUUGGUUCUGGCAUCGAUGAAGAACGCAGCGAAAUGCGAUACGUAGUGUGAAUUGCAGAAUUCAGUGAAUCAUCGAAUCUUUGAACGCACAUUGCGCCCUUUGGUAUUCCAAAGGGCAUGCCUGUUCGAGCGUCAUUUGUACCCUCAAGCUUUGCUUGGUGUUGGGCGUUUUUGUCUUUGGUCGCCCAAAGACUCGCCUUAAAGUGAUUGGCAGCCGGCCUUUCUGGUUUCGCAGCGCAGCACAUUUUUGCGCUUGCCAUCAGCAAGACGGCAAUCCAUCAAGCCUCCUUCUCACGUUUGACCUCGGAUCAGGUAGGGAUACCCGCUGAACUUAAGCAUAUCAUAAACGGGGGAAGA